rnacentral:rRNA from 1 species
AGAGUUUGAUCAUGGCUCAGGAUGAACGCUGGCGGCGUGCCUAAUACAUGCAAGUCGAGCGAACUGAUUAGAAGCUUGCUUCUAUGACGUUAGCGGCGGACGGGUGAGUAACACGUGGGCAACCUGCCUGUAAGACUGGGAUAACUUCGGGAAACCGAAGCUAAUACCGGAUAGGAUCUUCUCCUUCAUGGGAGAUGAUUGAAAGAUGGUUUCGGCUAUCACUUACAGAUGGGCCCGCGGUGCAUUAGCUAGUUGGUGAGGUAACGGCUCACCAAGGCAACGAUGCAUAGCCGACCUGAGAGGGUGAUCGGCCACACUGGGACUGAGACACGGCCCAGACUCCUACGGGAGGCAGCAGUAGGGAAUCUUCCGCAAUGGACGAAAGUCUGACGGAGCAACGCCGCGUGAGUGAUGAAGGCUUUCGGGUCGUAAAACUCUGUUGUUAGGGAAGAACAAGUACGAGAGUAACUGCUCGUACCUUGACGGUACCUAACCAGAAAGCCACGGCUAACUACGUGCCAGCAGCCGCGGUAAUACGUAGGUGGCAAGCGUUAUCCGGAAUUAUUGGGCGUAAAGCGCGCGCAGGCGGUUUCUUAAGUCUGAUGUGAAAGCCCACGG